GAUGAACGCUGGCGGCGUGCCUAAUACAUGCAAGUCGAGCGAACAGACGAGGAGCUUGCUCCUCUGACGUUAGCGGCGGACGGGUGAGUAACACGUGGAUAACCUACCUAUAAGACUGGGAUAACUUCGGGAAACCGGAGCUAAUACCGGAUAACAUGUUGAACCGCAUGGUUCAACAGUGAAAGACGGUCUUGCUGUCACUUAUAGAUGGAUCCGCGCCGCAUUAGCUAGUUGGUAAGGUAACGGCUUACCAAGGCAACGAUGCGUAGCCGACCUGAGAGGGUGAUCGGCCACACUGGAACUGAGACACGGUCCAGACUCCUACGGGAGGCAGCAGUAGGGAAUCUUCCGCAAUGGGCGAAAGCCUGACGGAGCAACGCCGCGUGAGUGAAGAAGGUCUUCGGAUCGUAAAACUCUGUUAUUAGGGAAGAACAAAUGUGUAAGUAACUAUGCACGUCUUGACGGUACCUAAUCUGAAAGCCACGGCUAACUACGUG
rnacentral:rRNA from 1 species